CCCGCAGAAAACGCUCCUGUCCUGGGCCGUCAAUGGCCCAGAGUCCGCGGCCGACGCAAGGGACGGUGCCUUCUGGGUAAUGCAGUUUUUCCCUUACAUCUACCGGGUGUGGGAACUCACCCAGCGCAUCCGACUCCACGGCAGUGGUGCCACAAGCCAGAUCACUGGGACCACUCAGAGAAAGGGAACACAGAAGCCUCGCAUGCCAGCAAAAGGAGUCAAGGAAACUUUUCAUUUGAGCUAUUUGCAGCUUUUACUAGUUGAAUAUACUCCUGUGAACAAAAUUUGGAAAGUAUUUGUUUCUCUCUACCUGAUUUCUCCAGAAUUUGGAAACUAGUUGGGAUCAACAAGAGACAGAGUGAGAAGGGAACACUUCAAACACAUGUCAUUUUACCCAAGACCAGGGAUAUGGAAUGGCACUGGGAAAGGCAAACAGCCAGAAGCUACAACUUUCAAUAGCGAGAACAAAGAGUGGAUGAGAAACUGACAUACGUGCUAAGGAAAGAACACAGCAUUUACCUACCCAUCACGUUUGCCAAAAUAAAGGCCAAGAAAGAGUGUAUCUGCAAGUCAAACCACUUGAAGCCUAUCUGUGAAAGAUACUAGGCAGAGGCAAGAUCCUUUCUCACAAGACUUCCUCUGUUCCCUGUCAUCACUGAAUUAAAUCCUGGCCAGUUUGUUAAGUAUUUUCACUGUGACUCCGAUUUUUUUUUUCUUGGUUACAAUGGUUUACAGGUAUAUAAGCCUUCAUCUCAAAGCUAUGGCUUAUUUUUGUUAUAGAAAAUUUUAUUUGCUUAAUGUUACAGAAACUUAAGCUAACUCAGCAUUUUUCCAUUUAAGUUACUGUGAAAAAGAGACAACACAGCAGGCCACAGACUGCUAUUCUUUGAUCUUGCAAGGUUCAUCCUUGGCUGGAGUCUGGACUUUAGGUUUCGGGAGGUUUCCCAUUGUUCCCAGUAAUGAGAAGUAGCUCCAUGUGCCUAAACUGUCUGUGCACAUGUGGCUUAUGCUGAUCACCUAUUCUUCUGGAGGUCUAGAACUGUGGUAUGUGCUAGAAAGUGAGUCCAAUAUAAACUCGCAGCAAUGGGUGCCUAAGACGACUUCCUGGAACACAUCUCACACGUGUUGUUGUGAAGUCCCAGAUGGAGCUUCAGUGAAGCACAUCCUGUGUGAUUUCAUUAAGAUUCUCGAAGAUUGUGCCUGGUUUCCUCUGGACUUGGGUCUGAGCCUUUUCCUUUUACUGAGUUUGCUCUGGAUUCUUUCGGUGUGGUAAAUUAUAGCCAUUGAGCAUGACAAAAUGCUGAGUCCUGUGAGUCUUCCCAGCAAACCACCAAAUCUGGAAGAGGUCUUAAGGACUCCAGCCGUCAUUCAUUGUGAUUUCUAAAAUUGUGUACAUAGGUCCAUAAAAGUCCAUGUAGAUUAUCUUUGAGGUCAAGGUAUGCCAUAUAUGGUGCCACCUAUAUGCACAGCUUUGUGGUAAAUGCGCUGAGGGAACUGAAAAUUGUAAUAAAAAAAAAUACCCUGCUGUGUAUGGCCAUUUACCAAAACACACAUAUAUAUUAAGGGUCUACUAAGGAACAAAAAAGAACGGGGCAGUGGUUGGACAGGGGGAUGAUAAAGGAAAAAGAAAUGGCCACAAUGUGUCUGGUUUGAGUAAUGACAGAAAUUAGGGGGAUUCACUGAUGUUCUUCAGGCAUCUCAAACACACUUAAAACCACAUGCAUGCCUUAGCCCUUCUCUACUCCUUCUCCCCACCCUUCCCACAUUUCCUCAAACCCAGACAUUCUCCGUCUUUUCUACAGUCACAAUAGCUUAUGCAGGCAUUAAAGAGUGAGUCUGGUUUAUCUCAUUUGCUUGAAGGAAUGGCCAAGAUAUACUGUCAAAUAAGAAUAGUAGAUUAUAAAUAAAUGAGCACAGUUUGACCCAUUUUAGUAAAAAUAAGUGACUAGGAAACAAAAACCUACCAUAUGAGAAGCAAUGAAGUGGUUGAGGACAUGGAUUCUGAAGCCAGUGUAAUGGCUUCCAAUCCCCAAACCCAAAUUUCCUAACUGUGAAACCUUUGACAAAUUCCUUAGACUUUCUGUCUCUCAGUUUUCUAAUCUGUUAAAGGGCAGAAAUAACUUUAUGGAGCUGUAAUAAACGUUAAAAGAGCUGAUGCAUCUAAAACAUUCAAAACAAUGUCUGAUACACAGUAAUACUUUAUGUUUGUGUUCUCUUAUGAUUAUGGGUGCAUCCCCAUGACCAAGGUCAUGGCCACAUGAUACAUGCCUAUAGGCUCAGUGAGUACAAAUACAGAAAAGGUGUGGAAGGAUGACCAAUGGGGAAUGACAUGAGAAACAUCCAACUUGGAGACACGGAUUUAGGGAAACUCUGUAGAUCAUUGAGAGUAAAGUGUCUUCAGCGUGAAUUAACUCACUCAUUGGGUGAAGGACAAGUCAGAAAACAGCAAUGAUCACGAUGGAUGCUGGGAAGUAAAGCUGUUUUAUAGACGGAAGAAAGACACAGACCCUACAAAGGAAAAAAGCCAGGAAUUCACAGAGGCCAGGAAAGGACCUUCAAGUCAGAGAUUUAGCAGUAUGGAGGUCCAAAAAGAGAGUGAGGGGGUGAAAAGGGACCUUUCUGAGACCUGCUUAAGUCAGGCAACGGUGGUGGACACCAUUUAGUAGUGUCUGGGGAGUAAAAGGAAAUGUAAAGGGGUGCGGACAGUGCACAAAACAGUUACUCAGGGCAUAUGUGUGGAAGAAAGGAAUAACCAGAACUUGAUAGGCAAGGAAGGGUGAAAUAGGUUGGAAAUGAGGCUUGAGAUCUGAAUAAAGCUAUAGAUUAUGGGAAAGAAGUUGGUUAAUAAGGAGAAGUUAAAGACUAAACAAGAGUAUGAAAGACAGAGGACACAGACAAAUUUGGUUCGGGAAGGGUGCAUGGCUCUAAUAAAAAAGUGUAAGAGUGAUUCUAGAAGAGGAAUGACCCCUUCUCCAUUGAGGAUAUAACACGGCUUACAGAGCUGGAGGAUUUUACAUACAACCUUCCCCUGGAGUAUGUAACUCUGAAUGCAUACGUAGAUCACCCUCAGUUAUAAGAUCUGUUGACAGAAAUAUUUAAGGAGUCCAAUAUAAAAGACUACAGGACUUCUACUCCUCCAGAUAAUUCAGGAUUUCUAUUCAAAUAUUGAGACAAACCACCAGAAAACCAUGACUUUGGAAUUUAGUUUUGUCUGUUUUCUGUGCCCUUUUAGUAUUAUAAACUAAGCAAAGAAAUCAAAGAUGUACAGAAGAACCAAAUGGAAAUUAAACAACUGAAAAAUACAAAAACCAAAAUGAAAAUUCACUGGACAAGCUCAACAGUAGACUGCAUAUGACAGAAAAAAAAAAGAAUCAGUGAGCUGAAAAAAAGUCAACAGAAAUUAACCAAUAUGAAAAAAAGGGAAAAACAGACCAGAAAAAGGGGGUAAACAUGAAAGCACAAGAGACCUCUAAGACAGUAACAAAAGAUCUACCAUUCAUAUCACUGGAGUUCCAGAGAGGAGAAAGAGUAGGGAUGAAAAAAUAUUUCAAGAAAUAAUGGUUAAAAAUUCCCAAAUUUGGCAAAGGGCAUAAACCUAUAGAUCAAAAAGCUGAAAAAAACCAAACAGGAUACACACUCAAAAAAAUUUCAUGUCACACAUCUCAUAACCAAACUUCUGAAUGCUACAAAAAAA